rnacentral:misc_RNA from 1 species
AAAAUAAUCCUACCCUUUGUGAAUUUUGUUUGUUUGAAUAAUUUUUUUUUUUAAAAAAUUAUUGGAGUCUUUCCCUUUAGGUUUGCUUUUGAGUUUGUAAAAGAAUUCGAAAACAUCUAAAGGGGAUGGUCAAUAAUUUUUUUUGAAAAAAGACAUUUUUUAAAAUUAAACUUUUUGUAUUCAUUUGUCUAAAAAUUAUUUUAUAAUAUAAAAACAACUUUUGACAAUGGAUCUCUUGGUUCUCGCAACGAUGAAGAACGCAGCAAAAUGCGAUAAGUAGUGUGAAUUGCAGAAUACGUGAAUCAUCGAAUCUUUGAACGCAUAUUGCACUUUUUUAGUUUACUAAAAAAGUAUGUCUGUUUGAGUAUCAGUAAAAUAUUCUCAUAAAAAUCAUUGGUAUUUUUAUGGUUAUGAGUGUUUUACAACGAUACAAGUUGUUUCACUUUAAAUUUUUUUUUAGUAUUGAAAUUUUUCUAAUUUUAAUAAUUAAAAUUGGAUAAAAAUUUUCCCGUCAAAAGGAAUAACCUAAACAAUUUUAAACGAUUAAUUUUAGCAAAAUUUUCGAGAAAAAGGAAAAUUUUUAUUAAAAUAACUUGAUCUCAAAUCAGAUAAGAGUACCCGCUGAACUUAAGCAUAUCAAUAAGCGGAGGAAAAGAAACUAACAAGGAUUCCCUUAGUAACGGCGAGUGAAGCGGGAAGAGCUCAAAUUUGAAAUCUUCAAGGUUUUACCUUGACGAAUUGUAGUUUAAAGAAGUGUUUUCUGCUGAAGUUUUGGUAAAAGUUCUUUGGAAUAGGACAUCAUAGAGGGUGAGAAUCCCGUAUUUGACCAUUAUUUCAGCUUUGUGAUACACUUUCAAAGAGUCGGAUUGUUUGGGAAUGCAGUCCAAAAUGGGUGGUAAAUUUCAUCUAAAGCUAAAUAUUGGCGAGAGACCGAUAGCGAACAAGUACCGUGAGGGAAAGAUGAAAAGAACUUUGUAAAGAGAGUUAAACAGUACGUGAAAUUGUCAAAAGGGAAGCGUUUGACACCAGUGUUGUUUUCUCGAAAAUCAAUUAAAAAUGGCUCGAUUUUGUAUUGCUGAGACCUUAAAAGCUCACUGUACAUUUUUCGUGUCUUUUUUAAUGCACUUUUCGUUUAACAAGUCAACAUCAGUUUCUUUUGUUGUAAAAGGGUCAUUGGAAGGUGGCUUUCUUUUCGGAGAAAGUGUUUAUAGCCUUUGGCCUCUGCAAUCGGAGAGACUGAGGUCUGCAGCGUAGACUCUUCGGGGUUAGAUACAUUUGUGCUAAGUUAUAGCUUUUUAUAGACAACUUGUUGACUAUAAUUUGUCUUGUAGCUUACUCGCUUAUGUAUUUUACCUACGCUUA